rnacentral:rRNA from 1 species
CGGCCCGCGUCUGAUUAGCUAGUUGGUGGGGUAACGGCCUACCAAGGCGACGAUCAGUAGCUGGUCUGAGAGGAUGAUCAGCCACACUGGGACUGAGACACGGCCCAGACUCCUACGGGAGGCAGCAGUGGGGAAUAUUGGACAAUGGGCGCAAGCCUGAUCCAGCCAUGCCGCGUGAGUGAUGAAGGCCUUAGGGUUGUAAAGCUCUUUUAUCCGGGACGAUAAUGACGGUACCGGAGGAAUAAGCCCCGGCUAACUUCGUGCCACCAGCCGCGGUAAUACGAAGGGGGCUAGCGUUGCUCGGAAUCACUGGGCGUAAAGGGCGCGUAGGCGGCGUUUUAAGUCGGGGGUGAAAGCCUGUGGCUCAACCACAGAAUGGCCUUCGAUACUGGGACGCUUGAGUAUGGUAGAGGUUGGUGGAACUGCGAGUGUAGAGGUGAAAUUCGUAAAUAUUCGCAAGAACACCGGUGGCGAAGGCGGCCAACUGGACCAUUACUGACGCUGAGGCGCGAAAAGCGUGGGGGAGCAAAACAGGAUUAGAUACCCUGGUANUCCACGCCGUAAANCGAUGAAUGCCAGCCUGUUGGGGUGCUUGCACCGCAGUAGCGCAACCUAACGCUUUGAGCAUUCCGCCUGGGGAGU